rnacentral:rRNA from 1 species
AUUGAACGCUGGCGGUAUGCUUAACACAUGCAAGUCGAACGGUAACAGGCAAAGCUUGCUUUGCGCUGACGAGUGGCGGACGGGUGAGUAACGCGUGGGAAUCUACCUUUUAGUGGGGGAUAGCCCGGAGAAAUCCGGAUUAAUACCGCAUAAGCCCUACGGGGGAAAGCUGGGGAUCUUCGGACCUGGCGCUAUUAGAUGAGCCCGCGUUAGAUUAGCUAGUUGGUGGGGUAAAGGCCUACCAAGGCGACGAUCUAUAGCUGGUCUGAGAGGACGAUCAGCCACACUGGGACUGAGACACGGCCCAGACUCCUACGGGAGGCAGCAGUGGGGAAUAUUGCACAAUGGGCGCAAGCCUGAUGCAGCAAUACCGCGUGUGGAAGAAGGCCUGCGGGUUGUAAAGCACUUUCAAUCGUGAAGAAAUGUUC